CUUGAUCGUGGGGUCUCCUCUGUAUCCGCCCGACACCGAGGUUAUUGCAGCACUUCCCGGCUGCAUGCCACCACCUCCGGACUCCGAAUGAACGAUCGAGGCUGAUGAGAGGAUGCUAUUGCUGGCCAGUGAAAAUAAUAGCGGAGCAGAGAAGAGCCGGAUUCACUCGAGACGGCGGAAGAGAGAGAGAGGGAGCUGCGCUGGAUUUCAGUCUUGCGGUAAGAGCAAGUAUCACUGAUAAACACAAGACACACAAGGCCUUCUUUCAGUGCACGGUCCUUUAUAAGGGCAGGGUGGCUGGGGUUAUCUUUUCUUGUGCUGCCCUCUCCCUCCCUCUCUCUCCCUCUUUCUCUCUCUCUCUCUCUCUCUCUCCCUCUACCUUUAGUCAUGUACAUGUAUAACUGUACAGGAAGCAAUGACACUGUACUUUUGAAUAGACUAUUAAUAUGUUUACCAUAUCAUAUCGUACUAUGCACAGUUGUAAACCCACAAAAACAUUUAGUCGACUUAGAAAGAUCUUAAUAAUUUCUGUCUAAAAACAGUCCUGCAGCGCUUCUGAAGGGCCCUAAAGCAAAGGUGCGAUUCAGCCAUGCUCAAGCUGUUCUGUGGGUAAAGCUCAUACCAGCUGGAGCAGAAAUCACAGAAUUGUCUUUCUUUCCCAUGUGCUACAUUUGCAUUUUACUCAGCUUACCAAAAGAAAUCGCCUGCAGCGAGAGAACUCUAACCACCAUACAUUUAAGAAAGAAAGAGAGAAUAAAAGAAGCACGAAAGAACAGAGGCAGACAGAGCGAAGGAAAUGAGAGAUAAUCUCAAAGCUACUGUCCAUUUCCACCGUAGUCACAAGCCAUCAUGCGUAAUGGGAAAAAUGCAUCAGCAUGCACGUCGGUAGAUGAGGCGCAAUCCCUUUGUCACCUAACCACAGAUAUCUUCUCUCUCUGUGGUCUUAAAUAUGGUCUUUUGAUGGUUUCUUGAGACCAAUUUACAAAAAAAAAAUACUUUGCGUUAUUACUGAAGAGCAGUGGUAUUACAUUGGCAUCUCUACUUUGACAGGGUCAUUCUCAAAGAGGCAAUGUGUGUUCCUGAGUAUGUUCCUAUGUUAUACCCCAUAUAGCCGUGUUAAUGCCAUCUAACUGUAUGUGGCCCCGGCUCUUCUGACAACUAAAGGGACCCAUCAAUGUUUCAGCCCACAGUGUAUGACUCAAAGGGCCUUUAAAGUGAGUAAAACCCAUUCUCUUUAAUUCUGAUUACACUCUGAAAGUGUCUUUAGCAUGUGGCGGCUAAAUUGGGCUAUCAGCGCUAAGUAGUGGCGGGGAAGAAAAGAGCCAAUUAUGCCAGUCAAAGCCAGAUGAUGAUUCUCAUCUUCACUCUCUCUAACGCAGAGACACACACAGACACACACAAAAAAAGAAAAGAAAAAGAGGAAUACGUCUCCUUUUGUUCUUAACUACAGAUAUUUUACACAUAUCUGUAUUUAAGGGGUUCGUAAUGUUAUAUGCACCCUUACAGAAUUAUCUGAUGUGUUAUAAUAUAAACAGACAGAAGUGAUAUAACUUCAUUUCCAUAACA